CUUUCCUUCUUCUCUCCUCCGCAGUUAUCUUGAGCAUACGCUUCCUUAUCUUCCCAUCUUCUAAAACCUCAAUUUAUUUCUAUUUGGGUGCUUUUCCAUCUCUGACUUAUACUUGCAUGGAUAGGCACAGGGGUGAUCGCUACGGAGGCACCGCCAACAAUCCCACCGCCUCCUAUAACCAAGACUCUUCCCAUAAUCGUCAACCCUCUCGCUUCUCAUAUACUCCCGCCGAUGGCGCCGAUGGUACCAAUACUUCCAGCACUUAUGACCACCGGAGCCCUAACAACUAUCAUGGUGGUGGUGGCAGUAACCACCCUUUGGACAGUCAUCCCCAUCAUCCUUCUUCUGCUGGCGGAUUUGGAGGAGUAGGAGGAUUUGGACCACGGGGUGGUGGUGCUGCCCGUAGUGGAAGAUUUUGGCAAAUGAGAGGAGAUGGAGAGUUUGGGUCUAAUUACCAGGCGCCACUGAAUCCGCCUCAGCUUCUGUCGGGACAGAAACGAGGGUAUCCUUUUGCUGGCCGCGGAAGUUCUCCUGAUCGUUUUGAUGGUGGUAGCUUUGCCAAGCUCUUUGUGGGAUCUGUUCCAAGGACUGCCACUGAAGAAGAUAUUCGCCC
rnacentral:misc_RNA from 1 species